CCUAUUACCCUGUGUCUUUUGAUUGGAGCAUUGAUUCCAUUGAUAUUUAGAACACUGAUGCCUCUCAGCGUCAUUUAAUGCACCAGACUACUAUGGAACAAGAAACAGAAGGCUGCAUGCAAUUGAAACUAUCAUUUCUUUAAAGGCAUCUAAAAAAUUCAUUUCUGGUCUUACCACAAUUCAUUAUUUUUGGAAAAGAGACAAGGCAUCUUUGAUGACAGUGUUAAUAACAUUACUGUUUUAAGCAAACAUUUACCGAUGUAGUUUUAUGGAAUCCCAUAAAUGACUUAUUUAUGUUACAUAGAGUACUAAGGAAACAACUAUGGAAAAACAUUAUAAGAUCACUGAUUUUAUUGCUCUCUAAGCAAUGUAUAUUAACUUUAUGAAACUUCGAAAACACAUAUAAACCCAGAGAUUACUAGUGUAAAGUUUUUAUUGUAGUCAUUCAACACCUUUCUUUAGCAACAUAGAAAUCUUUUACAAUAAAAAUUGGAUUAUAUUGUACAUGCUGUUUUAUAACCUGCAUUUUUCAUCCUAAAAAUAUGUUGUAAAUCUAUUUCCGUAGCAUUAAAUGUUUUUCUACAUCAUUUUAAUGACUUCAUACUGUGAUAUUUUAUAAUGUACUAUCAUCUAAUUAACAAGUUCCUUGUUAGGUACUGUUUUUUUUUUGUUGUUGUUGUUGUUUUUCCCAUUGUUGAAAUGAACAUCUUUGCUAAAUUAAAUCUUGUUUUACAUUCUUGAGUAAUUCAUUGGGCUAGAUUCUAAAAGUAGACUCGUCGGGUUAAGUGUACACAAAUUUAUAAAACUUUUCAUAUAUAGUGUGGAACUGACAUAAAAAUGUGUUUAUUUAUUUGCUUAAUUUAUUACAAUAUUUACAGUCCAUGAGGAAGAUAGAAAAAUAAUCUAAUUCAUUGCAUAACACUCCUUGGACUUCAUUUAAUUUCAAAAAAACUCAUUACAGCUAAAAUGAGACUUCUUAGACUAAGUUGUCAAACUUUGACUAAAGGGAUCCUGCAGAUCAUUUGGCUUAAAAGCUUUAUGCUAGAGCUGAGGGAACUGAGCUGAAGUUAUAACGUGUCCUGUUCACAGUUCAGCCUAACAAGUAAUGGAGCCAACUCAAUCCUGGAUCCAGAUGCUCUUUUUUCCUCCAAAGACCCUCGAGAGAAGAGCAAGUCAUUCUUCUUUAGAUAGUCAGCACAGAAUUGACGUGUCUCUGAGCUUUCUGGAAUUGCUCUGCGGUCUUUCGUUGUACCAUAAUUUCUUUCACUAUCACCUAGUUGAUGGACAUGAGGAUUGCCUGGAGUUAUUAACUAGUUUAAACAAUGUGGCAAUAAACAAUCUUUUAAAUAGCUGUUUAAA